ACUGACGCUGAUGCACGAAAGCGUGGGGAUCAAACAGGAUUAGAUACCCUGGUAGUCCACGCAGUAAACGAUGAUCACUAGCUGUUUGCGAUACACUGUAAGCGGCACAGCGAAAGCGUUAAGUGAUCCACCUGGGGAGUACGCCGGCAACGGUGAAACUCAAAGGAAUUGACGGGGGCCCGCACAAGCGGAGGAACAUGUGGUUUAAUUCGAUGAUACGCGAGGAACCUUACCCGGGUUUGAACGCAUUCGGACCGAGGUGGAAACACCUUUUCUAGCAAUAGCCGUUUGCGAGGUGCUGCAUGGUUGUCGUCAGCUCGUGCCGUGAGGUGUCGGCUUAAGUGCCAUAACGAGCGCAACCCUUGCCACUAGUUACUAACAGGUGAUGCUGAGGACUCUGGUGGGACUGCCAGCGUAAGCUGCGAGGAAGGCGGGGAUGACGUCAAAUCAGCACGGCCCUUACAUCCGGGGCGACACACGUGUUACAAUGGCGUGGACAAAGGGAAGCCACCUGGCGACAGGGAGCGAAUCCCCAAACCACGUCUCAGUUCGGAUCGGAGUCUGCAACCCGACUCCGUGAAGCUGGAUUCGCUAGUAAUCGCGCAUCAGCCAUGGCGCGGUGAAUACGUUCCCGGGCCUUGUACACACCGCCCGUCAAGCCAUGGGAGCCGGGGGUACCUGAAGUCCGUAACCGCGAGGAUCGGCCUAGGGUAAAACUGGUGACUGGGGCUAAGUCGUAACAAGGUAGCCGUACCGGAAGGUGCGGCUG
rnacentral:rRNA from 1 species